CCUGGUGGAUCAGAUGGUAAAGAAUUUGCCUGCAAUGCAGGAGACCUGGGUUUGAUCCCUGCGUCUGGA
rnacentral:tRNA from 1 species